rnacentral:rRNA from 1 species
UGAGUAACCUGCCCUUAACUCUGGGAUAAGCCUGGGAAACUGGGUCUAAUACCGGAUAUGACUCCUCAUCGCAUGGUGGGGGGUGGAAAGCUUUUUUUGUGGUUUUGGAUGGACUCGCGGCCUAUCAGCUUGUUGGUGAGGUAAUGGCUCACCAAGGCGACGACGGGUAGCCGGCCUGAGAGGGUGACCGGCCACACCGGGACUGAGACACGGCCCAGACUCCUACGGGAGGCAG